rnacentral:rRNA from 1 species
GACGAACGCUGGCGGCGUGCUUAACACAUGCAAGUCGAACGAUCAAGAAGAGAAACGCGAACUUCGGUUCAAAUUUCACUUCGGAUUAGUGGCAGACGGGUGAGUAACGCGUGAGCAACCUACCUCUUACAAAGGGAUAGCCUCGGGAAGCCGUGAUUAAUACCAUAUGACACAUUCAUAAGGCAUCUUAAGAAUGUUAACGCUAGGGCGGUACGGGAGGGGCUCGCGUCCCAUUAGAUAGUUGGUGAGGUAACGGCCCACCAAGGCGACGAUGGGUAACCGGGCAGAGAGGGUGAGCCGAGACACUGGAGGUGGGACACAGUCGAAACUCCUACGGGAGGGGGGAGUGGGGGAUAGUGCACAAUGGAGUGAACGCUGAUGCAGCGAGGCCGGGUGAGCGAUGAAGGAAGGCGUGUCGUAAAGCGCUGGUCUAUGGGAAGAAAAGGACGGUACCAUAGGAGAAAGCCCCGGCUAAAUACGUG